rnacentral:rRNA from 1 species
GACGAGGGGUCCAAGCGUUGUUCGGAAUCAUUGGGCGUAAAGCGGGUGUAGGUGGCUUUGUAAGUCAGGAGUGAAAUCCCCGAGCUUAACUUGGGAAGUGCUUUUGAUACUGCAAAGCUUGAAUGUGGGAGAGGAUCGUAGAAUUCCUGGUGUAGUGGUGAAAUACGUAGAUAUCAGGAGGAAUACCGGAGGCGAAGGCGGCGAUCUGGCCCAACAUUGACACUGAGACCCGAAAGCGUGGGGAUCAAACAGG